AGUGGCGAACGGGUGAGUAACACGUGGGCAACCUGCCCAAAAGAGGGGGAUAACACUUGGAAACAGGUGCUAAUACCGCAUAACCAUAGUUACCGCAUGGUAACUAUGUAAAAGGUGGCUAUACUACCGCUUUUGGAUGGGCCCGCGGCGCAUUAGCUAGUUGGUAGGGUAAAGGCUUACCAAGGCAAUGAUGCGUAGCCGAAUUGAGAGGUUGAUCGGCCACAUUGGGACUGAGACACGGCCCAAACUCCUACGGAAGGCAGCAG
rnacentral:rRNA from 1 species